AACGAACGCUGGCGGCAGGCCUAACACAUGCAAGUCGAGCGAACCCUUCGGGGUUAGCGGCGGACGGGUUAGUAACGCGUGGGAAUAUACCCUUUGGUACGGAAUAGCCUCGGGAAACUGAGAGUAAUACCGUAUGUGCCCUUCGGGGAAAGGAUUUAUCGCCAAAGGAUUAGCCCGCGUUGGAUUAGAUAGUUGGUGGGGUAAUGGCCUACCGAGUCUACGAUCCAUAGCUGGUUUGAGAGGAUGAUCAGCAACACUGGGACUGAGACACGGCCCAGACUCCUACGGGAGGCAGCAGUGGGGAAUCUUAGACAAUGGGCGCAAGCCUGAUCUAGCCAUGCCGCGUGGACGAUGAAGGCCUUAGGGUUGUAAAGUCCUUUCAGAUGGGAAGAUAAUGACGGUACCAUCAGAAGAAGCCCCGGCUAACUCCGUGCCAGCAGCCG
rnacentral:rRNA from 1 species